rnacentral:rRNA from 1 species
AUUGAACGCUGGCGGCAGGCCUAACACAUGCAAGUCGAGCGGAUGAAGGGAGCUUGCUCCUGGUUUCAGCGGCGGACGGGUGAGGAAUGCCUAGGAAUCUCCUUGGUAGUGGGGGAUAACGACCGGAAACGGGCGCUAAUACUGCAUACGUCCUGAUGGAGCAACUGGGGGAUAUUCGGACCUCACGCUAUCAGAUGAGCCUAGGCCGGAUUAGCUAGUUGGUGGGGUAAAGGCCUACCAAGCCGACGAUCCGUAACUGGUCUGAGAGGAGGAUUAGUCACACGGGAGCUGAGACACGGUCCAGGCUCCUACGGGAGGCAGCAGUGGGGAAUAUUGGGCAAUGGGCGAAAGCAUGAACCAGCCGUGCCGCGUGUGUGACGACGGUCUUCGGAUUGUAAUGCACUUUAUGUUGGGAGGAACGGCAGUAGUUUAAUACCUUGCUUUUUUGACGUUACCGGCAGAAUAAGCACCGGCUAACUUCGUG